CGAUCACCAUACAGAGAAAGAUGAUUUACAACAGUGAUUAGCGCACAAGUAGAUCUAGAUACUAAUUGACAACAAGAAAACAAGAACAGAGGAUCCCUACCCUCAAUGGUUUCCUUUAGAUUGACCUGAUGCCAGUGUCUAUAAAUCCUACAUCUGAGUCAUGGCUUCAAGUAUUUGUGUACUGCCUGUCUAUCAAUGUAAAUGUUUAUUGCUUCAAAGAUUUCAAGGAUGCCAUUCUAGCAAGAUAAAGUUCCUGUAAAGACGAUAAAUGUACCAAAUUGAUGAAUCAACUCCUGCAAGGAAAUUUGUUGGGUUUUGUGAAAUAAAGGCGUAAUA